rnacentral:lncRNA from 1 species
AUGUUGCCACCCCUGGAGAGCCAGGAACAAGUCAGUCCCCAGGCCGGUGCCCUUGGCUUCACACAGGCACAUCGUAAACCUGGCGUCUCGAAGCCCUGGCAGGAACGGGCAUGUGCUAAUUAUAAUCUACACGGCCUGUUAACCAUUGACCUUGGACUCCAAGGAGGCGAAGGCUCCAGAUACAAGGCAGGGCCUUCUGUGACUCAGAGGAUGGGCUCUUGGGUAGCUCGGUGGACGCUACUUGCAGCUUUGGCAGAAGGGAGAUGGUUUUGCGCCCCUUGGACUCUGCCGGGGGCGCCCCUUGGACUCGGCCGGGGGACUCUUGGGAGACAAGUCAGCAGGAUUACCUUCCGUGUGACCUCAGGCAGGUCACGUAACCACUUUGGACCUUGACUUCUUCACCUAUAAAAAGAAGGCCGGAGUUCCCUUCGUGGCUCAGUGGAAACAAAUCUGACUAGUAUCCAUGAGGACACAGGUUCGAUCUCUGGCCUCGCUCAGUGGGUUAGGAAUCCAGCAUUGCCGCAAGCUGUGGUGUAGAUCACAGAAGUGGCUCGGAUCCCCAGUUGCUGUGGCUGUGGUAUAGGCCAGCAGCUACUGCUCUGAUUUGACCCCUAGCCUGAGAAUCUUUAUAUGCUAUGGGUACAGCCCUAAAAGACAGGAAAAAAAGAGAAGGCAAUCAUUUCUAUUUUAAUUGGAAAAGGGAGACCUCAAUGAGGUAGUGUGUGUAAGCACCUAAUACAGGAACUGACACCUAGUAGGUGCUUAAAAAUGUUGGUUCCUAGCCAUUACCCCCUGAAAAAUCCUGGAGGGCUUCCUGGAGGUGGUGAUGCUAGCACUGAUGAGUGAAUGCAGGCAGGCAAAGAAGAGCAUUGAGGGGAGAAGCCACUUGGUGUGUACUGGGAGCCCUGGGGAGGUCUGGCUCAGGAAGAAGAGGUGGGAAGAGGUGGGAGGUAAACCUGCAGAGGUGGGUGGAGAAGGACGGCCACUGCCCCAGUACGCUUUGUGGACUUUCUCAGGGGCAGGCCAUGGAGCUGUGGAGGGAUUGAGUCAGAUGGACCUUUGACUCUGAACCUAACUGCCCCUUUCUGCCAAAGAGAGAGAACUCUGGUCUCUGCCUCCUGCGAGACCGGAGGCAAGUUGAAGCUCUCUGGUGCCUGCGACCCUGGACCCGGGCGUGGAUUUGGCUCUGCGGGGCCGUGUCAGCAAGCACAGCGCUGGAAACUCACUUGCUCCCCACACUCCCAUUUGGAACAAACUCUGCCUGCCUUAGACUGUUCUCACUGCUGGGGUUCAUUUAUUUAAUAAGAGUAGGGUUCGACUUGUUCUGUGUCCUUAGAUAAACCAAACCUGAAAACCACGGGAGCGCUUUUUUUUUUUUUUUUUUAAGCUGGGAAGUAAAGUGUGCUGGGUUUUCUAGUCUGUCUUAUUCCAGCCAUGACACAGACCCUGGGUCGGCAAGAUCUGGCUUCGGUGGGUCUGAGAGGCCCGUCUUUGUAUCGAGGGCCUGGUGUAUGCCAGGCUCCCUGCCAGGCCCUUGCAUGCUUCUUGGUGCCAUUGGUAUCCUCACUUUACAAACAAGGAAACUGAGGAACAGAGAGGUUAAUACACUUGCUCAGGGUCACAUAGCUAUUCGAUGGAGAAGCCAGAUUCAGUCCCACACUGGCUACACUUCACAGACUACCUUUUCUUUAGAGCGUAAUGUGAAAGCUGGGCUUCCUAAUUUUAAAAUCUAAUGGAACUGUGAAAUCUCUUCAUUUGUUAUUGGAAUGUAUGCAGCUUUAAAGUCCUCUAAUUUUUUUGUUAAUUGCCACUACCACCUUAAAGAAACUGACAUUUAAGAAAUGUACCUAUGGGAGUUCCCACUGUGGCUUAAUGGAUUAAGAGCCUGACUAGUAUCCAUGAGAAUGUGGGUUUGAUCCUUGGCCUUGCUCAGUGGGUUAAGGAUCCUGUGUUGCCAUAAGCUGCGGUGGAGGUCACAGACAUGGCUCUGAUCCUGCUUUGCUGUGUCUGUGAUGUCAGCUGGCAGCUGCAAUGCUGAUUCGACCUCUAGCCUGGGAGCUUCCGUGUGCUGUAGGUGCAGCCCUAAAAAGAAAAGAAAAGAAAGGAAAAGAAAAGAAAAGAAAGGAAAGGAAAGGAAAGGAAAGGAAAGGAAAGGAAAGGAAAGGAAAGGAAAGGAAAGGAAAGGAAAGGAAAGGAAAGGAAAGGAAAGGAAAGGAAAGGAAAGGAAAGGAAAGGAAAGGAAAGGAAAGGAAAGGAAAGGAAA